AGUGAACGCUGGCGGUAGGCCUAACACAUGCAAGUCGAACGGCAGCACAGUAAGAGCUUGCUCUUACGGGUGGCGAGUGGCGGACGGGUGAGGAAUACAUCGGAAUCUACUUUUUCGUGGGGGAUAACGUAGGGAAACUUACGCUAAUACCGCAUACGACCUACGGGUGAAAGCAGGGGAUCUUCGGACCUUGCGCGAUUGAAUGAGCCGAUGUCGGAUUAGCUAGUUGGCGGGGUAAAGGCGCAGCAAUGCGAGGAUCCGUAGCUGGUCUGAGGGGAUGAUCAGCCACACUGGAACUGAGACACGGUCCAGACUCCUACGGGAGGCAGCAGUGGGGAAUAUUAGACAAUGGGGGAGAGCCUGAUCCAGCCAUACCGCGUGGGUGAAGAAGGCCUUCGGGUUGUAAAGCCCUUUUGUUGGGAAAGAAAAGCAGCAGGUUAAUACCCCGCUGUUCUGACGGUACCCAAAGAAUAAGCACCGGCUAACUUCGUG
rnacentral:rRNA from 1 species